rnacentral:rRNA from 1 species
GCCAGCAGCCAUAUCGCCCUGCAACUCACAGCUGGCAGCCUCACUGAAACUCAGCAGGUGUGAGCCUGGUCAGUACCUGGAUGGGAGACCUCCUGGGAAAGCUGAGGCUACUGCUGGAA